CCUACGGGUGGCAGCAGUGGGGAAUAUUGCACAAUGGGGGAAACCCUGAAGCAGCGAAGCCGCGUGAGUGAAGAAGUAAUUCGUUAUGUAAAGCUCUAUCAGCAGGGAAGAAAAGGACGGUACCUGAGUAAGAAGCCACGGCUAACUACGUGCCAGCAGCCGCGGUAAGACGUAGGGGGCAAGCGUUAUCCGGAUUUACUGGGUGUAAAGGGAGCGUAGACGGGAGUGCAAGUCUGGAGUGAAAGGCGGGGGCUCAACCCCCGGACUGCUCUGGAAACUGUACGGCUGGAGUGCAGGAGAGGUAAGUGGAAUUCCUGGUGUAGCGGUGAAAUGCGUAGAUAUUAGGAGGAACACCAGUGGCGAAGGCGGCUUACUGGACUGUAACUGACGUUGAGGCUCGAAAGCGUGGGGAGCAAACAGGAUUAGAUACCCUUGUAGUC
rnacentral:rRNA from 1 species